rnacentral:rRNA from 1 species
CCUACGGGUGGCAGCAGUGGGGAAUAUUGCACAAUGGGGGAAACCCUGAUGCAGCAACGCCGCGUGAAGGAAGACGGUUUUCGGAUUGUAAACUUCUGUUCUUAGUGAAGAAUAAUGACGGUAGCUAAGUAGCAAGCCACGGCUAACUACGUGCCAGCAGCCGCGGUAAUACGUAGGUGGCAAGCGUUUUCCGGAAUUACUGGGUGUAAAGGGAGCGCAGGCGGGAAAGCAAGUCAGCUGUGAAAACUACGGGCUUAACUUGGAGACGGCAGUUGAAACUGGUUUUCUGGAGUGAAGUAGAGGUUGGCGGAAUUCCGGGUGGAGCGGUGAAAUGCGUAGAUAUGCGGAGGAACACCGGUGGCGAAGGCGGCCAACUGGGCUUUAACUGACGCUGAGGCGCGAAAGUGUGGGGAGCAAACAGGAGUAGAUACCCGUGUAGUC